GGUGCCACGGCCUGGAGCUGCUGCUGGGGAUGUGGGAAUGUCUUCUCCAAAGUCAUUCAUGUUGUGCAUUGUCCAGGUGCUCCAUCCUGGGACAGGACAGGAAAUUCCUGUACGGAGAUGUGUGCAGCGUUACUGUUCCAUACAGAUCCCCUGGCAACUUUUGGAAGCUCUAAAUUCCCUGGGGUUUUUUUGCCAGGUCACCCUUGCAGUCUGAUGUCCCUUUUCAUCCCACUGAGAGAACCCCUGUGCACAUCGAGGACACAGAAUAUUCCUUUAAAAGGUCUGUCCUGGGCUAUGAGGAGAGGAGCAGCUCCAUGAAUCCUGAGGGCCCAUCCUACCACCAGCCCUACUGGGAUGAGACAAGGCUCCUGGACUCAUCCAUCCUCAGUGAGAGGGGCCAAGGAGCUCCUGGCCAUGACGCCCCCCCAGAGCCCCCCAGGCUGAAGGAUCCCACUGAGCCCAGCAGGGCCGGGUCUGAACUGUGCUCCCAGGACACUGCUGGCAGCAGGGACAGGGAUGUGGGAAUGUCAUCCUGCCUGCAGAGGGAGGAAACCACGGCAGGAAGGCAAGAGAAAUAAUGGGGCUGC